AAAUGAUUUUGACACACGUCAGACGACUAUUAAUUUGUAAUUAGGUGUAUUUUCAUGUUUUUUUUCCUCUUUCGCUAAAUUAGUAUUUUUUCGUCACUUGAAUAAGAUAAAAAUGUCGUCACCGCCAGUAGACCCACGAAGACAAGAUAAAAUUCGGUCAUUUAAGGUAUCGCCAAAUGGCCAGACCGAAGACUUUUUACCCGAUUAUUUCAACAUUUUGGGAAUGAUCUUUUCAAUGUGCGGCCUAAUGAUGAAACUCAAAUGGUGUGCUUGGUUGGCCUUGUAUUGUUCCUGCAUAAGUUUUGCGAACUCAAGAGCUAGCGAUGAUGCAAAACAGGUGCUGUCGUCAUUUAUGUUGAGCGUGAGUGCCGUUGUCAUGUCAUAUAUGCAAAAUCCAGCUCCAAUGACGCCACCAUGGGCUGCUUGAAAAUAAAUCUACUGUAAUUAAGUCCAAAUCGAAAUCGGAAGAAUUAAAAGAGUUCAAACUUCAGUUGGUUGGCAAUGGUACGAAUGAAAAUGGAAGCAACGAUUUGAUCGAAGUCACAAGAACUCGGCAAGGUGAUGGUUUGGCAACAUAAACUGGAAUAUCUUCCUUUGUAAAUUCGGACAAUACUUGACGACAUACUCCGCACUUGA